rnacentral:lncRNA from 1 species
GUUUUAAAUUUUUUUAAUUUUUAUUUGUUUAUUUGUUUAUUUUAUUUUAUUAACUUAGUUGUGUUUAUUCCACAGAAGGUGUAGAUACCAUAGAGUGACAAAACUGAAAAUUUUUUCAAAGAAGCCAUAAAUUGGGUUCAAUGUCGCGACAUUGCACCCUAAUGUCGUGACAUACUAGAUAGAACACAACCUCGCAACAUUGAAGGGCCAAGUUCAUCUGAGACGUUUUAUCAUCCAUUAUCAACACUUAUUAUUUUUC